AAUUAGGAGGCUAGAUCGGCUAGCUGCUGUAGAGGGGAGUCUCUCAGGGUAAGAUUGAGAUACAUGCUGAGAGAGCUGGGAUCUGUGUAGCCAUUUGGAGCGGCUGUUUGUUUUUCCAGAAGUAAAAAGGACAUUGCAAAGAAUACGACCUCUGAUUCUCCAAAAUGGAUUUUUUGUCCUGAGAUGCUGAUCCUUGUGAGCUUUUACCUAACUGAUUCUCAGGAACCUGCACUGCAUGUGGUACACAUUGUGCAAACUAUGGUACGGGAACUGUUAUCCAGAAUACUCGGGACCUGGGGCUUCCCAGAUAAUGGAUCUUUCCGCAAUUUGGAUCUUCAUACCUUCAUUCUACUAGUAGAAAAUCAUGUAAACACUGAAUAAAACACAUAAGCUGGUUCUGCGUACAAUAAAGACUAAUUAUAUCUUAGUUUGGAUCAUGUA